UACGUAGGGUGCAAGCGUUAAUCGGAAUUACUGGGCGUAAAGCUUGCGCAGGCGGUUUUGUAAGGCUGACGUGAAAUCCCCGGGCUCAACCUGGGAAUGGCGUUGGUGACUGCAAGGCUAGAGUUUGGCAGAGGGGGGUAGAAUUCCACGUGUAGCAGUGAAAUGCGUAGAUAUGUGGAGGAACACCGAUGGCGAAGGCAGCCCCCUGGGUCAAAACUGACGCUCAUGCACGAAAGCGUGGGGAGCAAACAGG
rnacentral:rRNA from 1 species